rnacentral:rRNA from 1 species
CACGUAGGAGGCGAGCGUUUGUCCGGAAUCAUUGGGCGUAAAGAGCGCGCAGGCGGCUUGGCAAGUCGGGUGUGAAAUCCCGGGGCUCAACCCCGUGACUGCAUCCGAUACUGUCAGGCUAGAGGUAGGUAGGGGAGAUCGGAAUUCCGGGUGUAGCGGUGAAAUGCGUAGAUAUCCGGAAGGAACACCGGUGGCGAAGGCG